ensembl:snRNA U2 U2 spliceosomal RNA
AUAACUCCUCAGAUCAAGUGUAGUAUCUGUUCUUAUCAGUUCAAUACAUCCUCUACCCUGGGGCCAUAUUUUAAAUAGAUUUUCGGAUCAGGGAGAUCAGGGCUUGCUCCGUCCACUCCAUGCAUCGACCUGGUAUUGCAGUACCUCUGUUACCCCGCUGGGAUAAAU